CCUAAGCAGGACACGAUCUCGUUGGCAGGGCAACCGGCCUUUAGUUGGUGGCCUUCAGUGGGUGGCUUAAGUUGGUGGCAUUUGGUUGCCUUUCCUGGGGAGAGGCGGCAGGUGCUCAGCUCUGCAGACGUGGGGGCAAGAGAAGGCCCAAGCUGCCUCGAGAAGAGCAGAGGUGCCCCAUGGGGACCAUGAUGACCGGUCGCAUGUGCCAAAGCCAGCCCCCGGCAGGGCCAGCGCAGGGUUUCUGCGGGGCCGUCCUGUGGCUCUGAUAUCUAUGAGUGGGUGGCCAGCAAAGGCACAGGCACCAGCAGAAAGGAGCAGAGAUGCCCAGAACAUGCUGUCCCCCAAUGCCAGCCCCAAGCGAGGCCAGCUUAGGGUGCGGUGGGCAGAGCCAUCCUGCAGCUCUGAGAUCCACGAAGUGGAGGUGGGAGUAGCGCCAGGCUCCACGGCGUUGGAGCUCUCACAACUUGAGCUCAAUUUUAUUCCGGAGCCAUGACCUGCAGCACAUUGGUGACCAGAAGACGCCCAAAGAUGUGCCUGAGACAGGUUUGACCAGGCAACUGAAAAGAUAUCCCUAAGAGAAGACAAAGCAAAGGUAUGAAAGGAACACACGUCCCUGACUGACUAGGAGGAACAGAGCUGCCUGCUGUCUGGAACCGCUUCCUCCCAGACUAAGAGAGAAAUAAACUUCUG
rnacentral:lncRNA from 1 species